rnacentral:lncRNA from 1 species
AACGCCACAUUUUUCACAAAUGUGUUUUUGUCAACUAUCCAAAAUCUAUGAAAGAGAACAGGUGAACGACAUAGUAUGUAAUAGAUCAAAUCAAAUACAGAAAAUGUAAAUGUACGGUGUAAACGCAGCAUUACGGUGCCUGGAACCUGGUGCACCAUCUAUAGUUACGCCUGUGAUUCCAGUCUCACAUGUUUGAUAUUUGUCUUUUAGAAGCAGUCAGUCCAGCUGCCUCCCUGGUCCUGUACCCAGCACCACCAGGACCACCACCAGAACCAGUAGCAGUACCACCACCAGCAGUAGCAGGAGGAGGAGGAUCAUACCUGGAGAGAGGAGGAGCUCCAAAGUUCAAUCGCAAACCGGGAUCAUCUCUCCAGAACUGGACACUGGCUUCAUUAGAUCAGAGAGCAGCCCCCUCCCCCCUUCUCCUGUCCACCAGAUGGCGACAGAGAGUGUCCGAUUGUUCCGCUGUGAUUCCAUUGAGUCCAUCUCUGCUGAGGAAAGCUCCAGGAAUCCUCCGUCUGUUUUUCACCCGCCCACAAACGCCAGCACGGCUCAGCAGGAGAAAAGUGGGAGGAGCCGCAGCCUCUACUGCUCGUCACCGCAGCGUGUCACAUGCAGCAGCAUCAGCAGCAGGAUGAGAUCCAAUGUUCAGCCUCCUGCUCUGAUGUCCAGAUCCACUCAGACCUCAGCAGCAGUGGAGAGGAGCAGCCGGACGCCACAGCACCGUGAGAACCUUCUUUAUUCAACCAGUUCAGAGUUCUCAGUGAGAGAAACGUCUCUGAUUUAUAUCAACUAAACAGCUUCCUCACAUUCACAUCAGGGAAAGGAAACCAGGAGAGACACUGGUUAUGAUGAACAUGGCAAAAAUCAUCAUGAAAUCUGGUGAAAAGAGGUUAAAAGUGACAAUAAUGGGUCAACAUAUAAACAUUA